rnacentral:tRNA from 1 species
GUCUGGAUGGCUCAGUUGGUGGAGCAUGCAACUCUUAAUCUUGAGGUUGUGGGUUCGAGCCCCACGCUGGGUA